AUAUUUAUGGACCUAACUAUAAAUGGCAUCAACAUCUGGUUGGAGACCAAAGCAAAUGUGCAAUAACAAAUACUCAAUGGACGACAUUUGACGUAUUAUCACUGAAUCAAACUCUGACUUGCUGGACUCUGAUUUUUGAGGGAAGUAAACUGGAGAUGGAGAUCGAAAACCAAACUGAGGUACCAGCAUCAGCUGAUCAGUCCCCAGCUGAUUGUGGUGCUGAACACAUUUGUGUAGCUGAUGCACAUACAAGAACGUUUCCCCAGGAGGACCGCCACUUACGAUGACAAGAGGUUCAAACCAGAUUGUGUCGCACUAUGACUGCCACCGCCCCCCUUCUGUGGCAUGAGGACAACCAGGCAGCCGGCCCACUGCACAUUCCUGCUGACCAUCAUGCCACCCCUGUGCAUGCAACUACUACAAGAGAUGCCAAACAGGCACUGACAGCAGCGACAGCACGCAGCAAGAGAUUUUUUAUGUUGAUUUAUGUGCAAUACUGUUGCAUUGUGUGCAUUUCAGGAAACUGAGUUUUUUGCAAAAAAAUAUUCAGGUCUCAAAGAGUUAAGUAGCUUUGUAAAUGACCCACAUUAGAAAUCCUCCAUUGUGUCAAAUCUGGCUGAAUAUGGGGAUGAUGGCCAGUUAAUCUGACCAGUGCUAGCCUGGCACACCCUGUUGUGCAGCAUUAUUUAUGUACUAAUUUCAACAGGAGGACUUCCAAGAUGACAAACCUUUGCUAUGAUUGACCUGUGUAGAUGCAGGUAGAAAGCUGGACCAGUGCCUUUAUGAUAAGGAAUGACUGCAGCUAAAAGAAGGGCCCCUAAGCGACAAGAAACCCAAAUACAGUAUAUGCCAGUUGUGAUUAAAAAGUGGAGCGCAGUUUGUGCAAAGGCAGCGCUCAGAGAUGGCAACACCAGGCAGGCUCAUUCGAUAAGAUUUUCAAAAGAUACGCCACAUCUUAAAGUGCACAAUUCGACUUUAAACUCAGGCGGCUGUUAACUUUAUUUUGGCCCCUGCAUGUGGUAUCGAGAAGCAGUGCUUGUGACUGUAGAGAAGGGAAACUCUGUCUUGUUCAACUGUUCCCAGAAAUUUGCCAAUGCAGCAAAGAUUGAAUUCUCUUGGUAUAAAGAAGAAGCCAGCCCAAUGAGUAUUUGUGAAUUCGUUCUGGAGAACAAAACUGGGAAUAUAAGAAACUGCAAGACACGCCUGCUUGUCACUGAGUCACCAUGGCCAAUGCUGCUACUACAGGAUGUGAGGGUCAGUGACAGUGGGAGAUACAAAUGUAAGACAGAAAGAUUCAUUCCACCGCCUCAUGUUGGGGACACAAGUGAGACAAAUCUUUCUGUGGUGGGUCCUCCAGAUAUUACCCUGCAAUACACCUUCUUUAAUCACUCUUCAGACUGCGUACAGCUUUUAUGUAUUCUGGAGGACUUCUUCCCCUAUGAGGUGAAUGUAACCUGGUGGAAAGAUGGGCGGAGAGCUGAUGAGGGAGACCACCUAAAGGGUCGGUUCUUUGAUCAACCUGUUAUCAACACAUCUCUCAACAUUUGCAAGCCCAGCUGGAAAUCAGGUGAUGUGGUUUCCUGUUUAGUAAACCACUCAGCAUCUGCUUCAGUCACGAGUAAAAAUGUCACUCUUUACCCUAAUAAAGACACACCAUGCUGCACAAAUCACUGGAUCUAUGCUGGUGCAAUCUGCGCAGGCAUCUCAUUUCUAAUUAUCCUGCUAAGCUACCCUGUAUUUAAAUGUAUUAAAGGCAUUCAAUUGAAGUCUGAACCUCCGAACAUUAGUAUAUUUAAUAAUUUUGUAUAUGAGAACUAUCAACACAAUGCAGCCAAUGAAAGCAAAAGAGGCAUCUCUGGGAAUGAAUGUAUAUAUGAAAACUAAGAACUUAGCUUGACUAACAUGUGAAGCGACCACAACGCACCGGCUGUCUAUCGAAAGAGAGCAACACCAUUACUACAAUAUAAGUUUGUUUUUAUCCAACUGAAACUUUUUUUUAGCUCCUUCCUGAUGUUUAUCUACACCUAACAGUCAGAAGUGUGAAGCCCUCUAUGAUGCACAACAGACUGAAUGCUGGACCCUCAGCAUGGAGCCACUAGGCUAGGUUUUUCACUGCAGCCUGUCACCAUUGUCGUGCUCCAUGACAUUAAAAGGUGAAGUGGACAUUGCAAAGUAGCUGAAUGUCCUUUAAUUCAAAAUCUGUGACUCCGUUGUCAUGGGAUCACACCAAGCAGUAGGCUGUUAGAACAUUUCUGGCAGUCUGGCACUUCAUUUGAUGUCAAAUAAACAAGUAAAGCUGCUUUUAACCAUGUGAAGUAUUACAGUUCAGUGAAAAAGGGAGUGCACGAUGGGAGUUGAAGGAUGCUCUGCCUGCUCUCCAUGGCUAGCAUGUAUGCUGGAUACAGUUUAAUGGUACAUAUACCAUUCUCAAGACAGGCUGAAGUAAAAAGCACACAACUUCAGUGAUCCUGCUUGGAUUGAAUUUAAAAGUCCUUCUGCAAUUAACAUUGGUGUGGCAAUUUCUUAAUAAGGUGAAUAAAGCCAUGUGUUAAGAGUGUUACUGAACAUACAUAUGGCUUGACAAACUGGCUUAGCAUGUUCAUCCAUUUCCAAGAAUCUGAUUACCGUAUUUACGGGUGUACCACGCGCACAUUUUUUCCCGAAAAUUAGCAUUAGAAAAUCAGGUGCACGUCAUACAGAA